rnacentral:rRNA from 1 species
UACGUAGGGGGCAAGCGUUGUCCGGAUUUAUUGGGCGGAAAGAGCGUGUAGGCGGCUUGGUAGGUCCGCUGUGAAAACUCGAGGCUCAACCUCGAGAUGUCGGCGGAAACCACUUGGCUAGAGUCCGGAAGAGGAGAGUGGAAUUCCCGGUGUAGCGGUGAAAUGCGCAGAUAUCGGGAAGAACACCUAUGGCGAAGGCAGCUCUCUGGGACGGUACUGACGCUGAGACGCGAAAGCGUGGGGAGCAAACAGG